rnacentral:rRNA from 1 species
GACGAACGCUGGCGGCGUGCUUAACACAUGCAAGUCGAACGGAAAGACCCUGCUUUUGUGGGGUGCUCGAGUGGCGAACGGGUGAGUAACACGUGAGUAACCUGCCCUUGACUUUGGGAUAACUUCAGGAAACUGGGGCUAAUACCGGAUAGGAGCUCCUGCUGCAUGGUGGGGGUUGGAAAGUUUCGGCGGUUGGGGAUGGACUCGCGGCUUAUCAGCUUGUUGGUGGAGUAGUGGCUUACCAAGGCUUUGACGGGUAGCCGGCCUGAGAGGGUGACCGGCCACAUUGGGACUGAGAUACGGCCCAGACUCCUACGGGAGGCAGCAGUGGGGAAUAUGGCACAAUGGGCGGAAGCCUGAUGCAGCAACGCCGCGUGCGGGAUGACGGCCUUCGGGUUGUAAACCGCUUUCGCCUGUGACGAAGCGUGAGUGACGGUAAUGGGUAAAGAAGCACCGGCUAACUACGUG